rnacentral:rRNA from 1 species
ACGGGAGGCAGCAGUGGGGAAUAUUGGACAAUGGGGGAAACCCUGAUCCAGCGACGCCGCGUGAGUGAAGAAGUAUUUCGGUAUGUAAAGCUCUAUCAGCAAGGAAGAAAAUGACGGUACUUGACUAAGAAGCUCCGGCUAAAUACGUGCCAGCAGCCGCGGUAAUACGUAUGGAGCAAGCGUUAUCCGGAUUUACUGGGUGUAAAGGGAGCGUAGACGGCGAAGCAAGUCUGAAGUGAAAUGCCGGGGCUUAACCCCGGAACUGCUUUGGAAACUGUUUUGCUAGAGUGCAGGAGAGGUAAGCGGAAUUCCUAGUGUAGCGGUGAAAUGCGUAGAUAUUAGGAAGAACACCGGUGGCGAAGGCGGCCUGCUGGACGACAACUGACGCUGAGGCGCGAAAGCGUGGGGAGUAAACAGGAUUAGAUACCCUGGUA